UACGGAGGACGCAAGCGUUAUCCGGAAUGAUUGGGCGUAAAGCGUCCGCAGGUGGCAAUGUAAGUCUGCUGUCAAAGCGUCUGGCUCAACCAGAUAAAGGCAGUGGAAACUACAUAGCUAGAGUAAGGUAGGGGUAGAGGGAAUUCCUGGUGUAGCGGUGAAAUGCGUAGAGAUCAGGAAGAACACCGGUGGCGAAAGCGCUCUGCUGGACCUUAACUGACACUGAGGCACGAAAGCUAGGGGAGCAAACAGG
rnacentral:rRNA from 1 species